CAAUUAUUUCACUGAUACGUCUAAUGCUGGCAAGCCUGACAGUUUCAAAUUCUUUCUUCUUUUUUUUUUUUUAGUGACGAGUUUCACAGCAAAGUAACUCUCCUCAUUAAAAUAUAAAACAAAACAAAUAGAAUUCCUCACCAGUUCUGUUUCUCCAGAGAUAGAUCCCUUGACAAGUCCCCCACAAAGAAAAGUUCAAGCGUGGGAAUCUGCUCAGUUUCUUCUCUGUGAAUGCUAAUGCAAGGAGUUCAUUUUGCUUCUGUGCGAAAUUCAGAAUUUCUGCGCUAGGAGUCAAAAAAUACAACUAAAAUGGAAGAACCAAUCUCCUGAUUGCUCACUACAUUUUGUCAGAAUAGGUCCUGUUCUUUAGUCCUCUUCCGCUGUACGGCAACUUGAGCAGGGCCCUCCUAAAUCAGA
rnacentral:lncRNA from 1 species